UCCUCGCUCAAAGGAUCGCAUUCAAAGCUCACACACAGAGAAUUCCAUAAUUCUCUCCUCUUCUCAUCCGAGAAGAGCCCGCUUUGGGAGAAAGUCCCCGGACACCCUGUCCUUUUCUUUUUUUACAAAGUCGGUCAGGCAAUGCGGAAACGCGCCGCCAUAAAAGCAAUUUGAUAGCGGCUUACUGCCCUAUUCCCUCCCGGUGCCGAGUCAAUGCCCGACGCCCCCCCGGGGUGGACACAAUGGUGGUGUGGACUGGUGUCGGAGAGGGGUUUAUUGGGUUGCCUUUCGUCGUGUUUGGAUAGUCAUGCGAUUGCUCGGUUCUGUGUUGGAACUGGGUAACUCAAUGGGGCUCAUUCUUGAGGCGAGG
rnacentral:RNase_MRP_RNA from 2 species